GAGGGUAUAGCUCAGUGGUAGAGUGCAAGCUUAGUAUUCACAAGGUCCUGGGUUCAAUCCCCAGUACCUCCA
rnacentral:tRNA from 1 species